rnacentral:rRNA from 1 species
GUCAGCAGCCAUAUCAUCCUGCAACUCACAACUAGCAACCCACUGAAUCUAAGCAGGUGUGUGCCUGGUCAGUACUUGGAUGGGAGAUCUCCUGGGAAAAACUAAGGUUGCUGCUGGAA